UGCACUAGUACGGCGAGUGAAGCGGCAUCAGCUCAAAUUUGAAAUCUGGCUCUUUCAGGGUCCGAGUUGUAAUUUGCAGAGGGCGCUUUGGUGUUGGCAGCGGUCCAAGUUCCUUGGAACAGGACGUCACAGAGGGUGAGAAUCCCGUACGUGGUCGCUGGCCUUCGCCGUGUAAAGCCCCUUCGACGAGUCGAGUUGUUUGGGAAUGCAGCUCUAAAUGGGAGGUAAAUUUCUUCUAAAGCUAAAUACUGGCCAGAGACCGAUAGCGCACAAGUAGAGUGAUCGAAAGAUGAAAAGCACUUUGGAAAGAGAGUCAAAUAGCACGUGAAAUUGUUGAAAGGGAAGCGCUUGCAGCCAGACUUGCCUGUAGUUGCUCAUCUAGGCUCUUUGCCUAGUGCACUCUUCUGCGGGCAGGCCAGCAUCAGUCUAGGCGGUUGGAUAAAGGCCUCUGUCAUGUACCUCCUCUCGGGGAGGCCUUAUAGGGGAGGCGUAAUGCAACCAGCCUGGACUGAGGUCCGCGCAUCUGCUAGGAUGCUGGCGUAAUGGCUGUAAGCGGCCCGUCUUGAAACACGGACCAAGGAGUCUAACAUCUAUGCGAGUGUUUGGGUGUCAAGCCCGAGCGCGUAAUGAAAGUGAACGGAGGUGGGAUCCCUUUAGGGUGCACCAUCGACCGAUCCUGAUGUCUUCGGAUGGAUUUGAGUAAGAGCAUGGCUGUUGGGACCCCGAAAGAUGGUGAACUAUGCUUGAAUAGGGUGAAGCCAGAGGAAACUCUGGUGGAGGCUCGCAGCGGUUCUGACGUGCAAAUCGAUCGUCAAAUUUGGGGCAUAGGGGCGAAAGACUAAUCGAACUAUCUAGUAGCUGGGUUCCUGCCGAAAGU
rnacentral:rRNA from 1 species